CUUAUCGUUACACAGUUAAAUCAUACCCGAAUGGACGUGAGGAAGAGGGGUGUAAGGCCCCCGCUGCCCCGCAGCCGUGAAGGGAGCGAAAACCCGAUGAGCCACUGUCAUGGGUAAUGCCAUGGUGGGAAGGCGGGUAAGUAGAUAGCCCUGAGCCGGAAGACCUGUCCAUCCGAGAUUCCUCGC
rfam:Syntrophaceae bacterium CG2_30_49_12 cg2_3.0_scaffold_13511_c, whole genome shotgun sequence.